rnacentral:rRNA from 1 species
AACUAUGGCCAUGCUACCCAGAACAAGCCCGAUCCCAUCUGAUCUCCGAAACUAAGCAGGGUUGGGCCUGGUUAGUACUUGGAUGGGAGACCACCUAGGAAGACCAGGGGCCAUAGGCG